rnacentral:rRNA from 1 species
UACGAAGGGGGCUAGCGUUGUUCGGAAUUACUGGGCGUAAAGCGCGCGCAGGCGGCUUGGUAAGUUGGGGGUGAAAUCCCUGGGCUCAACCCAGGAAUGGCCUUCAAGACUGCUUGGCUGGAGGACGAGAGAGGUGAGUGGAAUUCCCAGUGUAGAGGUGAAAUUCGUAGAUAUUGGGAAGAACACCGGUGGCGAAGGCGGCUCACUGGCUCGUUUCUGACGCUGAGGCGCGAAAGCUAGGGGAGCAAACGGG